AUUGAACGCUGGCGGCAUGCCUUACACAUGCAAGUCGAACGGCAGCACGGGAGCAAUCCUGGUGGCGAGUGGCGAACGGGUGAGUAAUGUAUCGGAACGUACCUUUCAGUAGGGGAUAACGUAGCGAAAGUUCGCUAAUACCGCAUAUUUCUGUGAGCAGGAAAGCAGGGGGAUCGCAAGACCUUGCGCUGAUUGAGCGGCCGAUAUCAGAUUAGCUAGUUGGUGAGGUAAAGGCUCACCAAGGCGACGAUCUGUAGCGGGUCUGAGAGGAUGAUCCGCCACACUGGAACUGAGACACGGUCCAGACUCCUACGGGAGGCAGCAGUGGGGAAUUUUGGACAAUGGGCGGCAAGCCUGAU
rnacentral:rRNA from 1 species